GAUGAACGCUGGCGGCGUGCCUAAUACAUGCAAGUCGAGCGAACAGACGAGGAGCUUGCUCCUCUGACGUUAGCGGCGGACGGGUGAGUAACACGUGGAUAACCUACCUAUAAGACUGGGAUAACUUCGGGAAACCGGAGCUAAUACCGGAUAAUAUAUUGAACCGCAUGGUUCAAUAGUGAAAGACGGUUUUGCUGUCACUUAUAGAUGGAUCCGCGCCGCAUUAGCUAGUUGGUAAGGUAACGGCUUCCCAAGGAAACGAUGCGUAGCCGACCUGAGAGGGGGCUAGGCACACCUGGACCUGAGACCCGGUCCGGCCCCCUACGGGAGGCAGAAGUAGGGAAUCUGCCGAAAGGGGCGAAAGCCUGACGGAGCAACGCGGGGUGAGUGAUGAAGGUUUUCGGAUCGUAAAACCUUGUUAUUAGGGAAGAACAAAUGUGUAAGUAACCAUGCACGUCUUGAGGGUACCGAAUCAGAAAGCCACGGUUAAUAACGU
rnacentral:rRNA from 1 species